rnacentral:Y_RNA from 1 species
GGCUGGUCCAAGUGCAGUGGUGUUUACAACUAAUUGAUCACAACCAGUUACAGAUUUCUUUGUUCCUUCUCCAUUCCCACUGCUUGUCUUGACUAGCAUUUA